AGCGAACGCUGGCGGCAGGCUUAACACAUGCAAGUCGAGCGGACCUUUCGGGGUCAGCGGCGGACGGGUGAGUAACGCGUGGGAACGUGCCUUCCGGUUCGGAAUAACCCGGGGAAACUAGGGCUAAUACCGGAUACGCCCUUAUGGGGAAAGGUUUACUGCCGGAAGAUCGGCCCGCGUCUGAUUAGCUAGUUGGUGGGGUAACGGCCUACCAAGGCGACGAUCAGUAGCUGGUCUGAGAGGAUGAUCAGCCACACUGGGACUGAGACACGGCCCAGACUCCUACGGGAGGCAGCAGUGGGGAAUAUUGGACAAUGGGCGCAAGCCUGAUCCAGCCAUGCCGCGUGAGUGAUGAAGGCCUUAGGGUUGUAAAGCUCUUUUAUCCGGGACGAUAAUGACGGUACCGGAGGAAUAAGCCCCGGCUAACUUCGUG
rnacentral:rRNA from 1 species